rnacentral:rRNA from 1 species
AUGUCUACGUCACAAUCCCCGAUGGCCUCUACGGAUCAAUCUGCUAUCACUGUGGUACGAAGCGAGGAAGAAUCAAAUGGAAUAGACAACGGUGAUGAAGUACAGGAAAAAAAGAGCACACAGGCCACAGAUUGCGAAGUCGCAAAGGGAUUAACCAUCAAGGAAACAAGUGAAGAAAUGCAGCCAGCUCAAGACAAUGAAUUAGCACAAACAUUCGACACCGAAGGGGCAGAAACUGUAGGGGACAAGCUUGCAGAACUAAAUGGAAUACCCAACAAAGAUGAAGUGGAGAAAAAGAAGAGCACGCAGUCCACAGAUUCCAAGGAAUUAACCUUGAACGAAACAAGAGAACAAAUGCAGUUAGCUCAGGAUGAGGAAUUAGCACAAACAUUUGGCAUCGAAGGGGCAAACACUAUAGGGGACACAAUGAGAGAAUCAAAUGAAACAGCCGACAAAGAAGUGGAGAAAAUGCAAAGCACGCAGUCAAGUGAUUCAGAAGACUCCGAAGUGACAGAGGAAUUAACCUUCAAUGAAACAAGUGAACAAAUGGAUGCAGCUGAGGACAGAGAAUUAGAACUAACGUCUGGCAUGGAAGGGGCACAUGCAGGGAAGCCUAUCCGACUGCAUAACAAACCUAAGAAGGCACAAGACUAUGUGGUGGCUCCAGAAGAUUACGCCUGCACCGGCGAUGAUUGGUCUGUGAUUGAAAAUAUCAUGUCUGAACCAAACGAUAAAAGAAAUUUAGUGAGCAUUGAUGACUCACAUCUCCAAAGAAAACAAUUACAACGUCUAUUACUCCCAGAAGAAUUUGUUGGCGACGAAAUCAUAGACGCAUACAUACAUUGCAUAAGUGCUAAAGAGCAUCUACAGAUGAGGUCAGGUGGAAGUGUGUUCUUAGAGAGUGCAUGCAUCUCUAAGAUGAUAAAGGAAUUUAGCUCUAUACGGGAUGAGGCACCAAGAUGGGUAUUAAACAGAGCUACAACUUAUUUGGAACAUGAUAUGAUAUUCAUUCCAGUGAACAUUGAACACUUCCAUUGGUACCUAGCAGUUAUAAAUACCGGGCAGCGAUGCAUCCAGGUGCUCGACUCGCUAGGCCCAGGAAUGAGCCGCAAAGACCUUACCGCUAUGCUCAAAGGACUGGAAAAUGUAUUUGAAUAUGCAUCGCUUCAAAUGGAACUAAAAACUGAUAAGUGGAAAGACUUAAACAUCUCAACAUGGCGAAGGGAAGAGUGUAUUAAGAGCAAACUGCAAAGAGAUGGGUCAUCUUGUGGUCUGUGGAUGAUAAAUUUUAUGGAGUACUUCACAGGAUAUAUUUUGUCUGACAUUCCUACACAGGAACAUAUGACAGAUUUUAGAACAAAACUAGCUGUCAUCUUAGUGGACUCGGAAUUGAAUGAUGAUAAUAUAAGAAAUCGAGACAUGGAAGAUGACGAAAACAACACAGAUCCCACGGAAUGUAUGAUUCUGGAUAGACCUCCUGAGAAUUUCAAAACAUCAAAUACAUCUGAAGAAGUCGAGCUCAUCUCACAGUCAUUUAUCCUUUCACCGUAUGUCAAAACAACAAACGAUGAUUUAAUAGAUGAACUGUGCUUGUUCAUCGGUAUGGUUGAUGAUGUCGCUCUACUAGAGAGCGAAUGGGUGAAAAGCUCUGAUCCAUACCCUAUUAGCUUAAAUUUGAGACAAAUAAAAAACAUAUUGAACAACGAUGAAUACAUGGAUAUCCAUUGCUUUAAUAUGGCUGUGCGGAUACUAGCGCGGCACGAAGUCCAGCUUCUCAGAGACAUUCCAUCUCACUAUAUGGAUCUGAACUUUUGUUCGAUGUUCCACUAUGCACGAGACUCAAGUCAUCGUGAGAAUAUGGAAAUUGCUACAUUGAGACAGUUGUUUCAUAGCUGGCCUGACAGUAAUGAUUACCAUAUCUCACAAUGUGAUGUGAUUUUAUUGCCUUGGUAUAUGUUUGGACUAUUUCUAUUGUUUGUGUUGGAUCAAAAUAAAAAGGUUGUUUCAAUUUUCGAUCCGUUGCCAAUACCUACUCUGGGGAAUAAUGUACUUAAAAUUGUGGCUGAGAACCUAAACCGUGCACUAGAAGUUGCAAACCCUGCAUUCAAGGAUGAUAUCUCUAAAUGGGAAUGCUUAGUUCCUGUUGCUCCAACUAACUCACAUUGUGCCCUGUCCGGUUAUUUGGUUUUUAAUUACAUGCACUCAUUGUGUGAUGGAAAACUAUAUUUUCCCAUACCCAAGGAUGGAUUUCAGCUGAGGAAGCAAUUUUUGGUGCAUAUUUUAAAGUACGAAGAGAAUGAAGCUCAAAACAACAUCCCAUACAUUGAACGAAGCAUCAUUGAUCGCAUCUAUAGAUGGACCUUCAUUGCUUCAAAAGAUGGACCUUCAAGACAUGCUUAG